GCAACCAUAGCUCAGAUGUUAGAGCACUGAUCUCGUAAACCAGGGGUCGCGAGUUCGAAUCUCGCUGGUGGCU
rnacentral:tRNA from 13 species